rnacentral:tRNA from 1 species
GGAGAGAUGUCCGAGUGGUUGAAGGAGCACGCCUGGAAAGUGUGUAUACGUUCAAAAGACGUAUCGAGGGUUCGAAUCCCUCUCUCUCCG